AUUGCAGUAGGGAAUCUUCGGCAAUGGACGAAAGUCUGACCGAGCGACGCCGCGUGUGGGAUGAAGGUCUUCGGAUUGUAAACCACUGUCGAGGGGGAUUAAGGGAAACUUGAAAGAACCCUGGAGGAAGGGGAGGCUAAGCUCGUGCCAGCAGCCGCGGUAAGACGAGCUCCCCAAACGUUAUUCGGUAUUACUGGGCUUAAAGAGUUCGUAGGCGGCGAAGUAGGUGAGGUGUGAAAGCCCUCGGCUCAACCGAGGAACUGCGCUUCAAACCACUUUGCUAGAGGGAGAUAGGGGUAAGCGGAACAGAUGGUGGAACGGUGAAAUGUAUUGAUAUCAUCUGGAACACCGGUGGCGAAAGCGGCUUACUGGGUCUUUUCUGACGCUGAGGAACGAAGGCCAGGGGAGCAAACGGGAUUAGAUACCCCGGUAGUCCUGGCAGUAAACGGUGCACGUUUGGUGUGGGAGGAUUCGACCCCUUCCGUGCCGGAGCUAACGCGUUAAACGUGCCGCCUGGGGAGUACGGUCGCAAGAUUAAAACUCAAAGGAAUUGACGGAAUC
rnacentral:rRNA from 1 species